rnacentral:misc_RNA from 1 species
GAUGAAGAACGUAGCGAAAUGCGAUAAGUAGUGUGAAUUGCAGAAUUCAGUGAAUCAUCGAAUCUUUGAACGCACAUUGCGCCCCUUGGUAUUCCAUGGGGCAUGCCUGUUCGAGCGUCAUUUGUACCCUCCAGCCCUGCUGGGUAUUGGGCGUUUUGUUCCGCUACGCGCGUGAACUCGCCUCAAAUGCAUUGGCAGCCCGCCGUCCCGUGUGGGAGCGCAGCACAUUUUGCGCUCUCCGCUGCUGACGGUGGCAUCCACAAGUCUAACAUUUUACGCUUGACCUCGGAUCAGGUAGGGAUACCCGCUGAACUUAAGCAUAUCAAUAAGCGGAGGA